UACGGAGGAUGCAAGCGUUAUCCGGAAUGAUUGGGCGUAAAGGGUCCGCAGGCGGCCAUGUAAGUCUGCUGUCAAAGAAUGAGGCUUAACCUCAUCAAGGCAGUGGAAACUACAUAGCUAGAGUACGGUCGGGGUAGAAGGAAUUCCUGGUGUAGCGGUGAAAUGCGUAGAGAUCAGGAAGAACACCGGUGGCGAAAGCGUUCUGCUAGACCUGUACUGACACUGAGGGACGAAAGCUAGGGGAGCGAAUGGG
rnacentral:rRNA from 1 species